rnacentral:tRNA from 1 species
GAGGUUGUGGCUCAGUGGUAGAGCGCUCGCCUAGCAUGUGUGAGGCUGGGUUCCAUCCUCAGCACCACA